GAAAGUAAACAAGGGCGCAUGGAGGAUGCCUAGGCUCUCGGAGGCGAAGAAGGACGUGAUAAGCUGCGAAAAGUUACGGUAAGGCGCAAAUAGCCCUAGACCCGUAAAUAUCCGAAUGGGGCAACCCGGCCAGCAAUGGCCAUACCGCCAAGCGGUAAGCCAACGCGGGGAACUGAAACAUCUAAGUACCCGCAGGAAAAGAAAAUAACAAUGAUUCCGCCAGUAGUGGCGAGCGAACGCGGAACAGCCCAAACCACCCGUGUUACGGCACGAGUGGGGUAGAAGGAUCCACGCUACGGCAAGAAAUAAGUUAGCAGAAUACGAUGGAAAUCGUAGCCAGAGACGGUGACAGCCCGGUACGCGAAAACGGACAGAAGCCCAGUGGACACCUGAGUAACCCAGGACACGAGAAAUCCGGGGCGAAUCAGCGGGGCCCAUCCCGUAAGGCUAAAUACUCCCGAGAGACCGAUAGCGAACCAGUACUGUGAAGGAAAGGUGAAAAGAACCUCGAACAGAGGAGUGAAACAGACCCUGAAACCAUGCGCCUACAAGCGGUCGGAGCAUGUUAAAAUGUGACGGCGUGCCUUUUGCAUAAUGAACCUACGAGUUACUCUCGCUGGCAAGGUUAAGCGAUUCAGUCGCGCAGCCGAAGCGAAAGCAAGUCCGAACAAGGCGUACAGUCAGCGGGAGUAGACGCGAAACCAAGUGAUCUACCCUUGGUCAGGUUGAAGGUUGGGUAACACCAACUGGAGGACCGCACCGAUAAGCGUUGAAAAGCUUACGGAUGAACUGAGGGUAGGAGUGAAAGGCCAAUCAAACUUGGAGAUAGCUCGUACUCCCCGAAAUGCAUUUAGGUGCAGCCUCGAAGUAAAGUGAUAGAGGUAGAGCGACUGAUAAGAUGCGAGGGCUUCACCGCCUAUCAAGUCUUGACAAACUCCGAAUACUAUCACUUGAUCUUCGGGAGUGAGGGCAUGGGUGCUAAGGUCCAUGUCCGAAAGAGGAACAACUCAGACCACCAGCUAAGGUCCCGAAAUAAGGGCUAAGUUGAAUAAACGAAGUAAAACUGCAAAGACAGCUAGGAUGUUGGCUUGGAAGCAGCCAUUCAUUUAAAGAGUGCGUAACAGCUCACUAGUCGAGGAGUUUUGCAUGGAUAAUAAUCGGGCAUAAGCCCUUUACCGAAGCUGUGGAUGUCGUAAGACAUGGUAGGGGAGCAUUCCGGCGGCGACGAAGGCCGUCCUCGAGGACGACUGGAGCUUUCGGAAAAGCAAAUGUAGGUAUAAGUAACGAUAAAGGGGGCGUGAAACCCCCUCGCCAUAAGACUAAGGAUUCCUGAUCAACGCUAAUCGGAUCAGGGUAAGUCGGGCCCUAAGGCGCAGCCGAACGGCGUAGCCGAUGGAAGAAACGGUAAAGAUUCCGUUACUGGAUAUAGGAGCGAUGUGGAGACGGAGAAGUGACACACCCGCCUGCCGACGGAAGCGCAGGUUAAAGGAAGUAGGUAAACGCCGGGUAGGCAAAUCCGCCUGGCGUGCCGAAGCUGACAGUAUCGAGAGCCCCCGGGCAAUCGAAUAGCGGUGGUAAUCAGGCUCCCAAGAAAAUCCGCUAAGCAUAUUCUAUAUCCACCCGUACCCCAAACGGACACACGUAGUCGGGUAGAAUAUACCAAGGCGCUCGAAAGACUCACGGUUAAGGAACUAGGCAAAUUGACCCUGUAACCUCGGGAAAAAGGGUCCCCAGUAAGAUGGGGCGCAGAGAAUAGGUCCAGGCAACUGUUUAACAAAAACACAGGGCUGUGCAAAAUUUCAAGAUGAAGUAUACAGCCUGACACCUGCCCGGUGCCGGAAGGUUAAGAGGAGAGCUAAUCGCAAGAGAAGGCUUGAAUUGAAGCCCCGGUAAACGGCGGCCGUAACUAUAACGGUCCUAAGGUAGCGAAAUUCCUUGUCGGGUAAGUUCCG
rnacentral:rRNA from 1 species